rnacentral:rRNA from 1 species
UGAGGAAUAUUGGUCAAUGGGCUGAGGCCUGAACCAGCCAAGUCGCGUGAGGGAAGACGGUCCUAUGGAUUGUAAACCUCUUUUGCCGAGGAGCAAGACGGUCACGAGUGACCUACUGAGAGUACCCGGAGAAAAGCAUCGGCUAACUCCGUGCCAGCAGCCGCGGUAAUACGGAGGAUGCGAGCGUUAUCCGGAUUUAUUGGGUUUAAAGGGUGCGUAGGCCGACUGUCAAGUCAGUGGUAAAAUUGAGAGGCUCAACCUCUUCGAGCCAUUGAAACUGGCGGUCUAGAGUGGGCGAGAAGUAUGCGGAAUGCGAGGUGUAGCGGUGAAAUGCAUAGAUAUCACGCAGAACUCCGAUUGCGAAGGCAGCAUACCGGCGCCCGACUGACGCUGAGGCACGAAAGCGUGGGUAUCGAACAGGAUUAUACCCU